CACACCCACCUGUAAGGACGGCAGCAGGGCCGGCUCCAGUUUUCUGGAGAGCAGGGGGAACGUGGGGCAACGCUCUGCAGGGCGCCCGCGGGCCAGGUCUGCGGGAGAACGCGUGCUUCCGGCAUCCGCAAAACAAAAACCUCAGAGGAUGCAGAUCUGUGUUUCCAAACUGCAAGCGCCCAGCUUGCAGCCUCAGUGCCAGCAGAGGACCCCUCCCCUCCUCUUAGGCGCAGCUUUUGCCUGACUCUGGGAGCAUCUCUUCGUCCUCGGGCAGCUCUUCGCUUCAUUCCACGUGGACAGACCUUCAACGACCUAUCACCGUGCUGUCCGGUUCCGGCCUGCAGCCUGGGGAGGAAGCUGUGGAGAUGGAUGGUCCUGUCCUGCCCUGCAGACGCGCCAGGUGAUGAACGUGGCCGUGGGGGUGCGGCUCUGCUCCCAGGGCGAGGCCGCAGGGAGGGGGACACGGGGCCUGAGCCAAGAGAGGUGAAGGAGACUCGGAAGAGCUGAGGAAGGGAGGGAGGGCAGCGGAGAGCACGGGGUCCUCCGGGAAAGGCAAGCGGUCUGUCCAGCCGGUCAGAGGGGGCCCAGAGGAUGCUGGUGGCUGGGAGAAGGAAAGGGACAGUGGCAUUACCUGUGGGGUCUCUUCCAGCCCUCCUGUCUCUGUGCCUCACGCCCCCUCCAAAGCCUUCUAAGGAAGUACCUCUUUCUGGGUUCCAGGAGUGGGGGAAGGGGCCUGCUGAACCCGCCUGAGGGUCCUUGAAGCCAAAAAUGGAGAGUGACCUAAAAAGUCAUCUAUCGAGCCCCCAUGCUGGGCAGGGCCUCCUCUUCCAUAGCACUAUUUCAUCCGCAGCCCCCUUUCCAACGCUCCAUCAAAUAGGCCAGGCCUCUGCUCUCCCUGCUUCCUAUAGGCGUUGGGGGACUCUU
ensembl:lncRNA